rnacentral:lncRNA from 1 species
AGCUAUAGAAGUGAUUUGAUUGUUGAUCUAACAAAUAAUUCCAUUGGUGACUUUACUCAGAAAUCUGAAUAUAAUAUGAACUUAAUGUGAGCUCUUAAUGCCUUUUCAUCUUUAGGUUAGAUGCAAGAAACAGUAAUGUACUUUCAUUUCUUUUUAUUUUAAGACUAAAUUCUAAAAACUCUACCUGAGUGUUACAAUGUCAAUUAAAAAAUUGCAAUCUUUAUUGCUAUAAAAAGAAAGUGCAUUGCUAUUCACAAUCUUACACAAAUAGUUUUCUAAUUUUUUUUUU